rnacentral:misc_RNA from 1 species
GAUGAAGAACGUAGCGAAAUGCGAUAAGUAGUGUGAAUUGCAGAAUUCAGUGAAUCAUCGAAUCUUUGAACGCACAUUGCGCCCUUUGGUAUUCCAAAGGGCAUGCCUGUUCGAGCGUCAUUUGUACCCUCAAGCGUUGCUUGGUGUUGGGCGUCUUGUCUCUAGCUUUGCUGGAGACUCGCCUUAAAGUAAUUGGCAGCCGGCCUACUGGUUUCGGAGCGCAGCACAAGUCGCACUCUCUAUCAGCAAAGGUCUAGCAUCCAUUAAGCCUUUUUUUCAACUUUUGACCUCGGAUCAGGUAGGGAUACCCGCUGAACUUAAGCAUAUCAAUAAGCGGAGGA